GGUGAGUAGUUCUUGUGCUAUCCUAUGUAUACAGAUAGAAUUAAAGUAGCUACUAACUAAAUUCAGGAAGAGAAAAAUGUCUAUUACACAUUUUCUUUUUGUUCUUUUUGAUCGAUGGGAGAGCACUGUGUAAAUCCAAGAGAAGAGAGAAAUGACAGUUAUUUGUUUAAAAAACUUAAGUUGAAAGGAGAUGAGUUAAACAGCUCUUGUCACAUGUAUGUGUAGUUUAGCUCUUUGACCGAUUAUACAGAAAGUAGUGGUAGUUCAUAACUUUUGUGGUUUUUCUGUUUCGGGUAAUUAAAAAUUGCACGUCAGCACUGAUAAAGGUCCACAGCAGCAAAAUCAUUUCCAUUGUGUGUCAGUAACAAAUAUGAUAACAAUGUGUUUGAUGGCAAAAUUCUAGGCUCUGUAGAAGUUUAAGUUCAAUCUAGAAAGUAGGGUGACAUUUUCCCAAAUUGCUAGUCACUCGCUAACAUGACUAGCCACAGCACUUGUAUUUUCCUCAAGAGAAAGAACUCAAACUUCCUUGUAUAAUCACUCAGAUGUGAACCACAAUGCUGGAGAGGCUCCAGCCGGAAACACCGCCCCGGCUGGAAGCACCGCCCCGGCUGGAAGCACCGCCCCUAAUGCUGGAGACGCUCCAGCCGGAACACCGCCCUGGCUGGAAGCACCGCCCCGGCUGGAAGCACCGCCCCUAAUGCUGGAGAGGCUUCGGCUGGAAGCACCGCUCCUAGAGAUGGAUCAAUAAAGGUACAUCUUAUGUUAACCUAGGUACCACUGGCUGAAGGUGCCCAGAUUCGAAACACCACCCCUAAUGCUCCAGAGGCUCCGGCUGGAAACACCAUCACUAGAGAUAUAGGAGGUACCACCACUGAAGACACUCAGUGUGGAAACACCACCCCUGUUGAAGGUACCACUGCUGAAGACACCUUGGUUGGAAACACCAACCUUGGAGCUACCACUGCUGAGGACGCCCAGAAUGAAAACUUUUUAACUGAAUACACUCUUCUUCAAAUCUUCUUAUCUGAGCUCCAUGCCAGGCUUACUGGAUGCCGUAUCAGUUACCAAAACCUAUGUAUUGUUCUCAAUAUUGGGCCUAUAGGGUGUGGUAUCUGUUACCAAAACCUAUGUGUUGUACUCGAUGUCAGGCCUACUGGAUGUUUAAUCUAUUACCAAUACAUAUGUGUUGCUCUUGAUGUUGGGCCUACUGGAUGCGGUAUCUGUUACCAAAAUCUAUGUAUUGUUCUUGAUAUUGGGCCUACUGGAUGUUUUAUCUAUUACCAAUACAUAUGUGUUGCUCUCGAUGUCGGGCCUACUGGAUGUGGUAUCUGUUACCAAAACUGUGUCCAGUUUAUUGAAUGUAGAAGCAGUUACUAAAAGCAGCUACUGUUUUGCUGUUUUUAUUGAGAAACGACUGUGAGGUAAUAAAAUUUUUACCU